ACAGGCUUAACCCCAUAAUGGCCAACAGUAAUGCCAGAUUAUUCACCAAUCGGUCUUGAGGUUCUGACUCAGGUGCACUGGCCAGCUGCAUCUGUGUGAAUGAAAAGAGAAAGCAAACUCCAUAACCCAAAGCCCUAAGAUAUUGAAGAGAACGCCGUCUUCACCAUGAGCCCCACUGCCCAUUGAGACCAGCUGGAGAGGUUUGAAUAUCUGCAGUUGCCACUGGCUAAUCUGGUGGCUACGCCUUCUCUGUUGCUGUCCCAAGACUCCGGAAUGCACUCCCUGCUGAGAUAAGAGCCUCCCCAUCUCCAACAACUUAAAAAAAAAAAAAUCUGGGGGACUCCAAGCCCUCUUUAAAGACUGAGGGUUGUAGAGGAGGAAGAACGUGCAGGGACGGAACGCCGCCAUAGCAGCUGUCAUGGAGAGUGCCUGCACUUCUGGAGUGGCAACUACAUCACUGGUGCGGUCCCUGCUGUGGACCGCAGGAAAUAAAUGUGAUUUUGAGAAAUAA